rnacentral:rRNA from 1 species
CCAGACUCCUACGGGAGGCAGCAGUGAGGAAUAUUGGUCAAUGGGCGCGAGCCUGAACCAGCCAAGUCGCGUGAGGGAAGACGGUCCUAUGGAUUGUAAACCUCUUUUGUCGGGGAGCAAAAGACGCCACGUGUGGCGUUCCGAGAGUACCCGAAGAAUAAGCAUCGGCUAACUCCGUGCCAGCAGCCGCGGUAAUACGGAGGAUGCGAGCGUUAUCCGGAUUUAUUGGGUUUAAAGGGUGCGUAGGCGGAUUUUUAAGUCAGCGGUAAAAUGUCCGGGCUCAACCCGGGCCGGCCGUUGAAACUGGCAGUCUCGAGUUGGAGAGAAGUAUGCGGAAUGCGCGGUGUAGCGGUGAAAUGCAUAGAUAUCGCGCAGAACUCCGAUUGCGAAGGCAGCAUGCCGGCUCCACACUGACGCUGAGGCACGAAAGCGUGGGUAUCGAACAGGAUUAGAUACCCCAGUAU